CGUACACUCCUGCGGGAGGCAGCAGUGAGGAAUAUUGGACAAUGGGUGGAAGCCUGAUCCAGCCAUCCCGCGUGCAGGAAGACGGCCCUAUGGGUUGUAAACUGCUUUUAUCUGGGGAUAAACCUACUUACGUGUAAGUAGCUGAAGGUACCAGAAGAAUAAGCACCGGCUAACUCCGUGCCAGCAGCCGCGGUAAUACGGAGGGUGCAAGCGUUAUCCGGAUUUAUUGGGUUUAAAGGGUCCGUAGGCGGACUAAUAAGUCAGUGGUGAAAUCCGACAGCUUAACUGUCGAACUGCCAUUGAUACUGUUAGUCUUGAGUAAGGUUGAAGUGGCUGGAAUAAGUAGUGUAGCGGUGAAAUGCAUAGAUAUUACUUAGAACACCAAUUGCGAAGGCAGGUCACUAAGUCUUAACUGACGCUGAUGGACGAAAGCGUGGGGAGCGAACAGGAUUAGAAACCCGUGUAGUCCCAUGA
rnacentral:rRNA from 1 species